CUCUCUGCCUUAUCCCAGCCCCUUGGUUGACAGUCGCCUCAGAGAAGCCCUGGAUGAGGCUGAAGACACAUCUAACAAGGAGGACACAGCACAGCACAAACGCACACCACCACGGGACACGACCCGACAACAGCAGACACAGAGAGGCCGUACUCGGUCUUUGCUGGCGCAGGCGAGACAGAGCCGUCUGCAGUGGAAGGAGCAAGCUCAGGGGCUUGUCCACUGGCCCCAGCGGCAGGAGCAGGAGAGCCCAGGGCUGCAAAAACAUCCUUUGCAAGGGCUCCAAAUGGGGAAAGUGAAGCUGAAGGAAGUGUCACUACAGGCACCCGCUGAUGGCUCAGAGUGGCGCGGUUGCUGGGCCCCUGGGCCGGGGACAGAGCCCAGACCUCGGCGGGGUGGGCGCAUCUGCACUCACGAGAAGGCGGCUUUGCCCUCCUCCAUGUCCUUGCCCUUGGCUCCGGGCCCGGCUUUUCCGCACAGGUUGACGGCAAUGCACAUCAGCAGGCCACACUUGUUCAGGAAGUAGCAGGUGAUGUCCACGACCACCAGGAGCAGGACAAAGAUGACGAUGAGGAUGCCCACAAUGGCCCCGGUGCUCAGGCCUGAGGAAUAACCCCAAAGGGGCACGACAUUGGACCACCUUGGGCUCAUGGUUCACCCUCUUUUGCGACACCCCAGGGAGACGAAUGAAGCCCACAUGGCUCUGGAGACAUGGAGGCCUCC